GUGCAUUGUGGGAGACCCGCCCCAAGGCACGACCUCCCCCGCGGGCGGACUACAGCUCCCAGAAGUCCUCGCGGGGCGUUCGGUGGCCGUCAGGGCCAGUGGUUUCUCCCGGAAUAGCUGAUCCAAGUCCACACGUGUUAAAACACGCAGGGAAACCACCGCGCUGCCGACCUGGUUCUUUUCCCGGCUUACACCCUGCUCACUCCACCUCCUGCCUGUAAUUACACUCCACCCACAACCCGCUCUAUAGGGAGUAGGCCUCAGCUGCUUUUGCUUCUUAGUGCUUCACGGAGCACCGCGCACCUCAAAUUAAAGGUUUACACGGUGGCAGCUGAGCCCGCCGGGAAAUGAUCCCUCAGAUAUUGCAAGGCACCGCUCUCUCCAGAUACGGUCAGCAACAGGAAUUCUCCCCAAGAGCGCAUGCUGGAAGAACUCAGUAUAUUCACAUGGAGCUAUAUGGGCUAGCAAUGCUGCCGGUGGAACAGCAAGUUCCAGACAAGAGGACACAGUAUUAAGCUGAGCCAAGGCGAGUUUCGGUUGGACAUUAGGAGGAAUUUCUUCACAGAAAGGGUGACUAGACAUUGGAAUGGGCUGCCCUGGAAGGCAGUGGAGUCACCGUCCCCGGAGGUUGUUAAGGUGACACUGGGCGGGGCACUGAGUGCCAUGGUGUAGUUGACAAGGCGGUGCUCGGUCACAGGUUGAACUCGACUAUCUCAGAGGUGUUUCCAACCUAAUUGUUUCCGUGCUCCCGUAGCCCUGGAGAGCGGAGGCUGGGAGGAGAGUGGAGCGGUCGGCAGAGGGGCCAUCACUCCCGGUGGCAGCGCGGGCCGUGCCCGGGGCACUCGGGGCGCGUCGCUGUCCCCCGCAGGGACACGGGCGGGACGGCCCCGGCAGUGCCGGUCCCCGCCCGCAGGGGGCAGCGCUCCCCGCGGCUCCCGGCCCGGCUCCCCCCCGGCUCUCCCGCCCAGGCACCGCGGGUCGGGAACGGGCGUCAUGGGCAAGGGGGACCCGUCCUUGUCCCCGCGACAGAUACGCCCGGACCGGCUGCACAGCGAAACCAGGAACCCUCUGCCACGCUCAGCUGGAUGCAGCUCUCAGUACUAAUUUCCGGCCUGGAUUUCAGUCCUGAGUCGUUGGCUUGCAGGAGCUUAAUUUUCAAGGCAGGCAGUAUAAUUAGCAGUGUGCCUAUCUAGCCUGAGUAAUUAAUGAGUUCAGCCACACCAAGUCUAUUUUCUGGUGCUGUUGCUACUGCAUUUCUGGUCAUCACUUCUCACCUCAGUGCUCCCUGCCAGUCGUGGCUUUGUGGACUUGAAUGGCUGGCGUACCUUUCCUACCUAUGGCUGGUAGCCUGAGCUCUUUACCCCCCACAAGACAGUAGUUUGUGGCCUAGAGAAAUGAACUUACCAACUAUCUCUACAACUUGUCAGCUUGAAUUUCUUAAACCUGCAAUGAGAUCUUAUUUUGACUUGAGAAGCGUGUUGUUCAUUAUGGUGUGUUUUGUGAUGAAAACUCUCAGACAUUAUUCCCACACCAGCUGUGAGGGGUGGUAUAAUCCACACUACCCACAGUGAAAAAACAUUGACCAGAAGCUUUACUGGUGUUUGCAAGUGUGCAUCUCAGUAUGAAGCUACAUCAUGACUUAACAAUAACUUAAUGCAGCACCUAGAAUGCAUCGCUACCUCUGUCUAAACUGCCCAUGAUACCAAGAGAAUGUUUCUCCAGUCGUACCCUGAUGCUGAACCUUUUUAUGGACCUUGAAUUCCACUAUUAAAUAGCAGCGUCUAUUAAAUAGCAAGGCUGUUAAAUAGCAGUGUCUCAUUAAGGCUUGGAUGGGAUGUUACAGCUGUGACACUCAGUGGACACUUGGAGACCCAAAAGGGGAGAUUGCAUUUGAAGCGAUUCUCAGGUGAAUGACAGGGACCAAAUGUGCACUGAAGGUCAGCCUGUAGUCAAAGUAAUUCCUUGCAGCAGGACACAGUUUCGGUCUAAGGAGCUGGAUCAGUUCUGAUACAUUAUGACCAGUGUUGUUGAAAGAGGUAUGUGAUAGACUAGUGAUACACUGUGAUACACAGAGCUCACUUGUGGGAAUAAACAACCUGAGGGUGUUUGAAUGUAAGCAACUGAGAAGAAAGAAUUUAUCUCUGUAGAGCUGCAGAUGCAUUACACAAAAAGGCAGUGGUACAAGACUUAAGGGACAGGUAGAGAAGCUGAAACAGUUGAUUCUGUAAUACAAAGGGCUUCUGAUAUCUGGUUUGGCAUGCGUUACAGCGAAACAAGAGCUAGCAAAAGUCACACGGGCUGUGAGCCAGACACAAAUUCUCAGUCACAGGACUGCCUAAGUAGAAUCCUCAUUUGCACACAUACAUAUAUGUGUAUGUAUAAAUAUAUAGGGGGCUACAAAAAAUGGACAAAUUGAGACUUACAGGCAGAUUUCUGCAACCAUUUGGGAAAUUGUAGAGAUAAAUACUGCUUCUCCAUGGCAAUGGAGAAAUGUUGGGAAUGUUUGUUUUCAUUCAGCUCAUGUCUCACAUGCUAUAUGAGCAAGUAAAUGUACCUGCCUUACAGUUGAUAUAUAGAGGUGUGGUUUGUUUUCCCCCCGUGUGAUUAAAGGUGUUCUGUUUGACAGUUUGGGUGGAAGGUGUCUAGGUGUCCUUUGUUUCUACUGAAGCAGUUGAAACAGAAUGACUGAUGGUCUGUUUUUUAAUAAAGGGGAAAUGUUUCCAUCACGAAGCAUUUUUAAAAUAAAAUUACUUUCAUAUUCAGGAAGCAGUUGGAUUCCACUGUUAAUGGAAUGUUCUUCAGUUUAGUGUCUCAGUAGGAGGGAACAAAUACUAUAGAAAAGACAAUAAAUUUUAGCAUGCAGGAAAUGUUUUGCUCCAAGUGAAUUACUUAUCCCUGCAUACUACACCACAUUAGAAUUAUUAUUAAGGUACUUCUGUUAUUUUUAUAUCUGAUUUAAUAGAGCCUACAAGGGCAGCUAAUUGGAAAGCAUCAGACUUUAUGUUUUCAUAAAGUAAUUCUAUAGUGAAUAAUUAAUUUCUUUUAAAAGAUAAUAGUCAGUUUAGAGAAAAGAAUUAAAGGUAGUAUGGUCUUGGUUUGUUACUAGAAAUCUUAUUGCAGAUAACAUUGUUUCCUACAAUCAAAGUUUGACGGAGAAAGAAGGCAUGUUUUGGACUCUAUCUGAGAUUUUGCAUAAUUUUGUAUUGUGAUAAUGAUUCACGGUCCAGAAAAGCCUUUUUUCUACCUUUAAAAGGCUUUUUUCUCUGACAACUCCACCAUGCAUUACAGUGGUAGCAUUUGUAUAUACUUGUUGACUGAAAUGCUCCAAGGGUAACAGUGUUUUAAUAGCAACAAUAUUAUUGUUAAAGCAGCAAGUUAAAAAGUUAAUUGAAUAUUAUUUUAUUUACAUGUAUAUCUCCUUACAAACUAGAGGCCCACCUUUGAAGAUGCUUUGAAGAAGAACUUCAAAGAAGUUAAGUCUGUACUUUGUAUUGAGAUAUUCAUGCAAAUAAAAUCAGAUUCUUCUUUCUGAAAACCCUAUUCAGUUAACAUAAGAUGGCAAGUUGGUUCUACAGGCUUCCAAGACAGUGAUGAAAGCACUGGGCCCUUUAGCUUCUAUAAUUAAUUUCAGAUGCAUUUCACAGGCUGGCACCUUGUGCUCAUGGAAUCCUGACAUUGCUGUAGCAUCACCUUCCAGAAAAGAGCACAGUCUGGGACAUAUCUGCUCAUAGGAAGAAAAGUACUUGUUGCUGGUUUGUGAGGAGCAGCAUAACAAGGUGUGUAUGUAUCUAUCAGCCAGAUAAACAGGCAGAACAAAGCAGCAAGAGCAAAAUUUAAAUUAUACAUAUAACUAAUUACCACUAGAUUAAUAUGGAUGUAGAAUUGUGUGUGUUAGACACUUGUAUUCUUUACAGAUUGGUGACGGAUAUGUCCUCAAGAACAUGUAUAUUUACUUUGUAUCUCUCUCUCCCCACACUAUCUUUAUGCUAAGUGAAGGAAUAUGAUCAUAUAUAAAUAUUUAGAUUUAUGUAUUAUUACUGAUCCGUUUCCACAUCUCUAGCAUGAAUAGUCCAUUGAAAUCAGUGCUGUAACACAAGAACAAGCAGUUUAAAACCUCCACCAGUAUUGUGUGCUUAUGAAGUGUUCUGAUUGCAAAAAAUCAACACUCGAUUAGCUACCAAGACAUUAUAUACAUUACCUGCUUAAGAACUGAACACAUCUUUUACCUGAAUGUGGAUGAAGAAUAAACAACCUCCUUGAGCCAGCAGUGUGGUAAUUCAGGCAGUCAGGACAUAGUGAUAAGGAAGGAGGGAGGGAGAACAGAAGGGAAUUGCUGAAUCCCUGGGAAAGCAGCAGUCACACCAAGAACUAGGCCUCUAAGGCCCAAAUGUCCCUAGACAGCCCCUCCUGUCCCCCACCCCUCUGUCCAGAAGUCCAGGAGCCCCACCUCAGCUCAGCCCAGGGACUUCAAUUGCUGCCUAAGCUAAGCAUCUCUAACUCUUUCUUCAGCUCUUGGAUGGACACCUGGAAAAUUAUUUUUAAAGAAUGUUAUUAAUAUAUUCACUAGUUAGUCUGGAUUUCACAUUCACAGUAUCAUGGAAGUAAUUGUGCUUGGAAAGCACUUCUGAAGAUCAUAGCAACAUGAGCUAACUCAGUUUGUAAGAGACAGGAUGAGGUCCGAGUUCAAGGCAGGUCAACUGUGUGCAUAGACCAGGUUCCCAGAUUUUAUUCAGCCUCUCUCAAAAAACUUCCAGGAUGAAAUCUGCAUCAAUGAUCUCUAGCACAGCCUCCUAUUCAGAGUAGAGCUACUGCUACAUCAGGCCAGAUGUGUCUUUGUCUGUAUAAGCCUUGAAACCUUCAAGAAUGGAGACUCUACAACUCCUGCAGACAAUUUGUCCCAGUAGUGCAUUACUAUGCUGGUGAUGAAGCUUUUCCUUAUACAAUUUUUAGUUGUUUAAAAACAUGUUAAUAUUUUGUAUGUGUUCAGUAGAUAUAGAAGCUAUUGUACAGUUACAUUUACCUUUUUCUAAAUUUUUAAAUAUUUGUAAUAUGAAUUAAGAUCCCCAAAGCUUUUAAACUGUACUAUAGUUGUUUUAGCAAUCCCAAUACUUCAACUGGAAAAGGAAGAAGUCUCUCAUUGGCUCUGCCAGCACAACCAGUAUUUCAGGUACAGUCCCAAACCUAACAAAAUUUUUCAGACUCUGUCAGGGAUGUAAAACGAAGAUUAUCUAUAAAUGCAAUGGUGAUUCCCUGGUGCUUAAUGUGUUCUCCUUUAGAAUUAUUUCAAAAUUGUUUCCAUGGUUUUAGAUGCUGGCUUGUUGUAAAAAGAGUAGGGUUUUCUGAAGGAUAAGGAUGAUAGCUGCUUUCCAUCUCACACCACUGUCUUGUUUGGACAAUGCUUGUUUACAUGUUAAAAUACAUUAUAAUCAAAUAAUUCCAUCUCUAUUAUAAUAAAAUAAUUUCAUUUCACUAAUUUUAUCAUAAAAAUCCCUUUCUCACAGGACUCAACCCAUUGAAAGACAUGAGAAAAGGCUGGGAUAAAAUGGCACCACUUCUGCAUGCAUAUUCAAUAGUUAACAACAGUGAACUUCAUAUGAGCUCUUAAAAUGCAUUAAAAUAAAUCUUCAGCAAAUUCUUCCCCCUUGAGCAUCCUGCUGAAUUAUUUUUGCAGGUACUCACUGGGCUACUCACUGUUUACAAUCACUCUAAGAUUAUUAUCAUGUUAUUUACAGAAUUCUAUGAAAAUUAGCUAAAAUGAACCCUUGUAAACCAAAAUGGAGAGUAAAUUCUAGAAACAAGACCAGAUCAAAAAACAUGUGACAAAAGGUUCUUCUUAUCUACAGCUGGAGAUGUAUUAGUGCAAAGGAUGGUUUCUGGUGUAUAUUAUAGAAGUAAUAUGUAGAAAGGAUUGUUGGAUUUUACUUAAGGUAAGAUUGGUAACACCUGUUCUUGGCAGGCACCUGCUCUUUUCCACUUUUAAAUAUUGAAUAAUAUUUAUGAUUAAUUUAGUACAACAAGAUAGAACAUGCAGCUCACAUCACAAACAAUCAAUGCACAUCCUUUGUUUUCUGUAGCCUGUUUUUGAAGCUGUUCAGUAAUUUAUCACAAGAGGAUCAUAAUGGAGUAAGACCUUGCAGGAAAUAAAACCCAAUAGUCUUAUGGCCACAAUUGAAAUAAAAUACUUGUUGGGUUGUUUUAAUAGUUUGGCUAAGUGCCUACAAAAAUGGGUUUGUUUUCUUUGCCAGUGUUUACCCUUCAUGUCAGUAAGAAGAAACUACUAUUCAUAUUGUCUCCAUGAGAUGCCACUGAACAAUAUUACCAGUACAGAGUAACCCAGGCAUGCCAAGGAAGUUUAAGUAAAUAAAGUUUAACUUUUCAAAGCAAUUUCAGCCUCACCUCCACUAUGUACAAACAUAGGCUUGAGGACAUAAUCAGCUGUACACACCUCUGAAUGUCAUGGGCAAGAAUCCCAAUGGUGUGAGACUCUGUACAAACUCAGGGAGCAAAUAAACACAAUUCCUAUCACACAAGCCCUAAACCAGAUGGAUACAACACAAAAGAGGAAAAAGGAAAUGUAGAUUCCUGUAGAUAACCUGUAUCUACAUGAUCCACUAUGUCAAAGAUUCUGCUGGCAUCAGGGCAAUGAUGAAUUCAUAGCUUACAGGAAAGAAUUUGUAGGUGACUUUUUUGGGUGGAUCAUUUGGCUUAAAAGAAAACUGGUCAAACGUACAAUUUUAUUUUGAAGCCACACAAUACAAAACUAUCUCAAAUAUGUGCUCUUUUUUUUUUUUCUUUUUUUUUUUUUUUUUCUUUUUUUUCCCUAAUGGUAAACUCCAUAUCCAAAAUGAUAAGCCUAAUUUGAAAACUUCAGUUCAGGAGAAUCCAGUAAUUUUUCCAAGUGAGAUCUGUGAAGAUUAUGCUUUCAAGAACUGUGAAGGCAAGCAGCUAGGCUUCCUUUACUGAAUGUGCUAAGAGUAUGAAAUACAGCUCUCAUAAUUACAGUUAUAGAAAUAAACUUGUAUUGUAGAAAUAUAAUUCAGAUUAUUAUCUUAAUAUCAAAGUAGAAUUGUGAGUUAUUUGCAGUCUGCAAUUUUUCCUGGUCAGAUUUGUAGUUGGCCUCAAGUAUUUCUUGUUUAGAAAAUUGAAUUCCCUUCCCCCUCUAUAGCUUGGUGGCUUAGGACAAAUAAAACUGCUUUGAUGUUUUAAGAGCCUCAAGUGACUUUUUUUCCAGGCUAGAAGAUAAGUUGCGGAGAAGUUCCACUGACUAAAUGUCUGUUCUCUGAAAACAGACAUUGGAAAGCAUGUUUGUAGUUUCAGACUCUGUUUUGUUAGACAUAUACAGAUGCAGAACUAAAAACAAACACAAAUCCAUUCCCUAAAGAGAAUAAAUGUACACAGAAAUAUCUUUACAGAAAGCUGUUUCCAAGCAAUGCAGUCACUAAACAGUAUUCUAAAGUUUUCUUUUUAAUAUGAUUUUACUCCAGUAAUUCUAAUUGGCAAAGGAAAAAUUAAGCAUCUGAAGUAUUUUCCUUUGCAUUGGAAAUGCUAAAGAGGAAUAUCAGCUCCAAACAGAACAACUGUGACAGUGGGCACCAUAUUGAUGUAGGAUAAAGAGGGCCUUUGGAGAAAUAUGUUUAAGGCUAAAAUAUGAAGUUUUAAAUAAAUCAGUGAUGGAAUACAGUGGGCAUGUGGGCAGAACUGUUUCACUGAAGACAAUUGUUUAUAGACUAAUAGUUAAUUAUAGUGUGGUCCAGUAGAUAUUUGGCAGAAGAAUUCUGUUUUAAGGUUUCCUUAAAUUAUUGGUAAUAGAAUAAUGGGUUUAAAUGAUACCUCCUUUUAAAGGGAUAUUAUUAAGCUUGCCCCCCCACCCCCCCCAACUAUUUGGAAAGCAUGGUAAAGAUUUAUAGAGUUCAGUGGAAAAUAACUGACUAUAUGGCUUAAAUGGAUUGUGGAUCACAAAGACUGUGUUACUAUUUGGAACUGCAGUUGCAGCUAUCAUUAAAUGCAAAGCACAGAAAAUCUGACACAGCAAAGAGACAAAUUGGAAUCAUUGUAACAUUGUUUCUUUGGUUUUGUUUGGGUUUUAUUUCUUUUUUUCUGUGUAUGUACAACCCGGGAUUAAAUAUUUAAACUUUUGGAAAGAGACCACAAGGGUGAGUCUUGGAAGGAAGCUAAAUGCAAUCAACUUUUCUUUUCCUUCUAAAGAAGCUGUUCCUGAAAUACACUGAAAUUUUUUACACUUUCUUCUACCUCAUUUCUAAGAAAAACAAAACAGAACUUCUUUAGCUGGAUUUCACUGUAUUUAAAAGUUGAUUCCUAUGCUAUUAAGCAAAGUAUAAUAUGAUUUUUUCUUGAAAUAAAAAUUUAUUUUGCUAGAAAUUAUUAAAACUGGACACGUUCAUAAUCCUCUAAGGAAUGUGUACUCUGCCAAGUCUGAAAACACUUGGAAGAGAAAGGAGGUCUAUCUUGCAUACUGUGCUACAUUUUUUUACUGAUUUAUGAACAAGACACUGAUGCUUAGCUUGUACAGUUUGUUGGGUCCAUGCAGUGAAAUAAACACAGCUGCAUUUAUUACAGUGAUUGCAUAAUCACAUAUUUGGUACUCCCAAACUUCUGGGAGCAGUGUGUGCUAAAAAUCCUAAUUUCCUUUACCGUCUCUGUUACUCUCAAUUUAUUUUAUAUUUAAUGUAAGGCUUUAGUUUGUAUAAGUUAGAUAUUUUAGUAGCAAUGAUUCUGCAACAACAGAAUCAGUAAUUUAGAUCAGAACAACAGUAAUUUAGAUAAUUUGCACCAGUUGUAAAGAGUGGUACUGCCAUUGCAUAGUUCAUAGAAAAUACAAAGGUGACACUUGUCACAGGUAUUGCUUUGAGUGAUCCUCAGCUCAGCUACUCCAUGUAGCAUAGACUUUACUACUCAGUGUAAUUUCUAGAUAGCUAUAAUGCCAUCCAUUUUCUAAAAUAUUAUUUUGGAAUAUGAAUAUAUUUUAUUCUACUUUAUUAGCAAUAUGCCAGUCAUUGAGACUGACUUUAUAUAUAAACAAAACCACCAAGCUUUGCAGCACAAACACAUUGUAUUUUAUCACAAACAUCACCAGGUAGAUGAAAUUGUGCAAAGGAAAAUAAAGAAGGCAGCCAGAGACCUUUAAUAAUCUACCACAGUGACAAAGUGUUCCUAAAUUAAUAUUUAGGAAGGAAAAAAAAAUAAUUCUGGCAUCAUGUAAAUAUCCUGAACAUGGAUAGUAUGCUAAAUGUAUUUAGGAAAUAUUUUGUAUUUUUUUUUAUCUGAAAAUGGAGAGGGGAGCUUAGACAGUGGUGGAGUCACAGAUUUCUGCACACACACCCACUAUAAUUUCACCAGUGACUGUUUCAGCCACGGUGGGGGUCCCAGGGACAAGUCAUGUUCGCUCACAAGGAGGAGAAUGGGGAAAUCUGUGCUGUUUGAUAGAGGGUUUAUCAUGCCCUGCGUUUUUUCAGUGACUAAACUCUGCAUUUUGUUUAUGAGGCAGAAGCUCAAAACUCAUUCAUGGAUGACUGGCAUACCAUCCAUUUGUGCUCAUAACUGAAAUGAAACAGGGUGGCAUCUUUUAAAAAAAUGUUAUAUGUGUAGUUUAAAGAAGUACUUUGCUGUAGCUGUAAUCCCUGUUGGUAGGAAGCUAAUACCUAAGGAGAAAUUCAGUUCUGCUUUGGUGACCAGCACAGUCUGCAUGUUUGGGAUGCAAUUAAGAGGCUUUUGUCCGUUGGAUGUAUUGUUUACCCUGAGUCCUGAGGCAUUCAUUUGAGAAGAUAAUCAGUUCUGUUAAAAGAAUACAAUUUCAUCUUGUUUGAUGGAAUGUUUUUUUAAAUUGUUUUAAAAUUUGAUACAAUGUUUAGUUAGUGCAUCAAAAUGUAAACUUCAUGUAAUUGCUUUAAAGGAGACCAAAUAUAAUACAAUUAGAGAAGACAUAAAUGUGGUCAGUGUCCUAGAUAAAUAAAAAUUAUAUACAGAACGUACA